rnacentral:sRNA from 1 species
AGCAGCCGCGGUAAUUCCAGCUCCAAUAGCGUAUAUUAAAGUUGUUGCAGUUAAAAAGCUCGUAGUUGAAUUUCGGGGUCAGUAGAUUGGUCGUGCCACUGGUAUGUACUGGUCUUACUGGCUCCUCCUUCCUGAUGAACCGUAAUGCCAUUAAUUUGGUGUUGCGGGGAGACUGGACUGUUACUUUGAAAAAAUUAGAGUGUUUAAAGCAGGCUAACGCUUGAAUACAUUAGCAUGGAAUAAUGAAAUAGGACGUUCGAUCUUAUUUUGUUGGUUUCUAAGAUUGACGUAAUGAUUAAUAGGGAUAGUUGGGGGCAUUAGUAUUCAAUUGUCAGAGGUGAAAUUCUUGGAUUUAUUGAAGACUAACUACUGCGAAAGCAUUUGCCAAGGAUGUUUUCAUUAAUCAAGAACGAAAGUUAGGGGAUCGAAGACGAUCAGAUACCGUCGUAGUCUUAACCAUAAACUAUGCCGACUAGGGAUCGGAUGAUGUUAAUUUUUUAAUGACUCAUUCGGCGCCUUA